GGCGUGGUGGUGAAAUGGAAAAACACACGGGCCUUUCACGUCCGGAUAUGCGGGUUCGAGUCCCGUCCACGCCA
rnacentral:tRNA from 1 species